UGGAGGGCUGCGCGCUCCUCGCCUGGAAGCUGGAGGCGCGCUUGGGCGACCGCGCUCCUCCCUCUCCUCUGCACCCGCUGGCACGCUGCGCGCCCGCGGAGGAGCCUCGCCAGCCUCCAGGUGAAUUGAAAGUCGUUUCCGGGGGAGGACGGAGAGGGUGCUGCAGUCCUGGCAUGCACUGAAACUGCAAGUCGGACAGAAACAGCCCGGUGGAGGAGCAGGGCGCGCGCCGAGCGCAGCAGCGCGGGGCUGACGCUGCUCAGCUCCCAGCCAAGCGCGGCGUCCGGACCUAUCCCGGGGCUCCGACCGGAGCGCGCUCGCCUGCCGCGGACCCUUGCCCCUCUUGCGCCUUAGCUGCUGCGCGGGUGUGGGGAAUGCGAGCGCCGAAGCUCGCGGUCGCCGCGGAGCAGCUGCCGGUGGGAGAGCGAGCAGAGGCGAGGGGGCGGCAGACUCGGCCCAAAGAUUGUUCCCUUGGACACUUGGCUUAAUGUCUCCGAUGAACACAAUGCUUUCUGCAGCAGGAAAUAUUGACUGUGGGGUGAGUGAGACAACUCCAUAAUCGACAUGUUUAUAUGAACAAUGUGU
rnacentral:lncRNA from 1 species